CAUCCCAGCCGGGACUCGAACCCGGGACCUUUGGAUUAGAAGUCCAACGCGCUAUUCACUGCGAUACUGGGAC
rnacentral:tRNA from 1 species